rnacentral:lncRNA from 1 species
UGUUGAAGGUGGGAACCAAUGGGAGAUAUUUGGAUCAUGGGAGCAGAUCCCUCAUGAAUAGAUUAAUACAUUCCUUCCAGGAAACAAAGCUCCAAAUUUGGAAGCAGCAGUGAAACUCCACAGAUUACUGAGGGCAAAAUUGCUGGGUCAUAUGGCACCAAGGAAAGGUCUUGUGCUGACACAGGGAGAAAGCUGUCAUUUACAAGCUGGGAGGAGACCUUCACCAGAAACUGAAUUUGCUACCACCUGGAUCAUGAACUUUUACUCUCCAAAACGGAAGGAGGUGAUGAAGAGAGAAAGAAAGGAUGGAAGGAAGGAGGAAGUGGACAAUGAGCCCAGAGCCCUCACCUGAGUUCCAAACAUUUAAGUCAAACUGCCAACUUCAUUCUCCAUUUGGACGAUUUCUCAACAUGUACAAAACCAAGUCCUGAUUUUUCCGUGACCCCAAAUCUGUUCUAUCUGAAGCCUCCCUAUCUCAGUUACUGAGACAGAGUCUGUCUGUCUUUGUCACUCGCACUUCACGCUGGAGUGCAGUGGUGUGAUCAUAGCUCACUGCAACAUCAAACUCCUAGAUUCAAGCGACCUGAUCCUUCCACCUCAGCCUCCGGAGUAGCUGAGACUACAAAUCCUGGCUGAUGGAUGUAAUGAAGGCAUGAACUAUACUAGUUGAACAAGGAAAUGAACUUGAACCAAAUUGUGAAGUUCUCUGCAGUGAAAUAUUAAAG